CGGCGAGUGAAGCGGCAAAAGCUCAAAUUUGAAAUCUGGCACCUUCGGUGUCCGAGUUGUAAUUUGAAGAUUGUAACCUUGGGGUUGGCUCUUGUCUAUGUUUCUUGGAACAGGACGUCACAGAGGGUGAGAAUCCCGUGCGAUGAGAUGCCCAAUCCUAUGUAAGGUGCUUUCGAAGAGUCGAGUUGUUUGGGAAUGCAGCUCUAAGUGGGUGGUAAAUUCCAUCUAAAGCUAAAUAUUGGCGAGAGACCGAUAGCGAACAAGUACAGUGAUGGAAAGAUGAAAAGAACUUUGAAAAGAGAGUGAAAAAGUACGUGAAAUUGUUGAAAGGGAAGGGUUUGAGAUCAGACUCGAUAUUUUGUGAGCCUUGCCUUCGUGGCGGGGUGACCCGCAGCUUAUCGGGCCAGCAUCGGUUUGGGCGGUAGGAUAAUGGCGUAGGAAUGUGACUUUGCUUCGGUGAAGUGUUAUAGCCUGCGUUGAUGCUGCCUGCCUAGACCGAGGACUGCGAUUUUAUCAAGGAUGCUGGCAUAAUGAUCCCAAACCGCCC
rnacentral:rRNA from 1 species